rnacentral:rRNA from 1 species
UACGUAGGUGGCAAGCGUUGUCCGGAUUUACUGGGCGUAAAGAGCGCGCAGGCGGUCGUACAAGUCGCGUGUGAAAGCCCCCGGCUCAACUGGGGAGGGGCACGCGAUACUGUUCGACUCGAAGGCAGGAGAGGGAAGCAGAAUUCCCGGUGUAGUGGUGAAAUGCGUAGAUAUCGGGAGGAAUACCAGUGGCGAAGGCGGCUUCCUGGCCUGUUCUUGACGCUGAGGCGCGAAAGCUAGGGUAGCAAACGGG